rnacentral:lncRNA from 1 species
AAUUCAUUGAGGCUGGCGGGAAGGGGGGCGGGGACCGCGCAGUCUCUUUAAGGCGCUUCCAGUUCUCGGCUCCAAUCGCUGCUCUGACCCCCUUCAUCGUCUCCUCCCCUCUCCUCGUCCUUCCCUUCGUCUGUGCGGCUUCCCCAGCGCUGUGGGGCUGCGGACGGAGGGGUAGCCUAGUCCAGAAGUGUCUCUGGGGCUGUGAAAUGUCCCCUCAGAGGGUGGGUCCUGAGGAGAGCAGUCAGAAGCUGUGAUAGGCCAUCAUCUCUGUGGCUGAGCCUGCCCCCAGCCGUGUCCCAGGCUCCCCUCCCACCCCAGCUUCUGCUCUGCCAGAUAAGGAUGAAGCCCCAGCUCCAUUCUGGGGCAGGCCUGGACCCCAGAUCCGGAGGGGCAGAGCUCCCAAGGCCACUGGGCCUAAAGAGUCACGUCCCUUUGCCCAUCUUAUUGGUGCUCUGCACAGUCUGUGCCUGCUCCUCGCCUCCUGCUCGGGCUCCCAAGGCCACGGCACCUCAGCAUCCUUCCAGUCAACGCCUGCCCUUUGUGCCUUGCAACCAGAGGAACUGCAACUAGUGCAUUCAGUGAAGGAAUCUUGCUCCUGCUGCUGCUGCUGAAAAUGACUGAGGUCAUGGAGUGGGACCAGGGAAUGGGAGGUA